UAGUCCACGCCGUAAACGAUGAUCACUAGCUGUCGGCGCUAAAAAGUCGGCGGUCAAGCGAAAGUGAUAAGUGACCCACCUGGGGAGUACGUUCGCAAGAAUGAAACUCAAAGGAAUUGACGGGGGCCCGCACAAGCGGUGGAGCAUGUGGUUUAAUUCGAUGAUACGCGAGGAACCUUACCAGGGCUUAAAUGUUAGGUGACAGAUCUAGAAAUAGAUUUUUCUUCGGACACUUAACAAGGUGCUGCAUGGUUGUCGUCAGCUCGUGCCGUGAGGUGUCAGGUUAAGUCCUAUAACGAGCGCAACCCCUGUUGUUAGUUGCCAGCGAGUAAUGUCGGGAACUCUAGCAAGACUGCCAGUGCAAACUGUGAGGAAGGUGGGGAUGACGUCAAAUCAUCACGGCCCUUACGUCCUGGGCUACACACGUGUUACAAUGGUAGGUACAGAGAGCAGCCAAUGCGCGAGCAUGAGCAAAACCUNUAAAAACCUAUCUCAGUUCGGAUCGG
rnacentral:rRNA from 1 species